UACGGAGGGUGCAAGCGUUAUCCGGAUUCACUGGGUUUAAAGGGUGCGUAGGUGGGCAAGUAAGUCAGUGGUGAAAUCUCCGGGCUUAACCCGGAAACUGCCAUUGAUACUAUUUGUCUUGAAUACUGUGGAGGUCAGCGGAAUAUGUCAUGUAGCGGUGAAAUGCUUAGAUAUCAGGAAGAACACCCGUGGCGAAGGCGGCUCUCUGGGACGGUACUGACGCUGAGACGCGAAAGCGUGGGGAGCGAACAGG
rnacentral:rRNA from 1 species